rnacentral:rRNA from 1 species
GUACGUUUUCACCCUCGGGUGACAGGGAGACAGGUGGUGCAUGGUUGUCGUCAGCUCGUGUCGUGAGAUGUUGGGUUAAGUCCCGCAACGAGCGCAACCCCUACGUUUAGUUGCUAACGCGUGAAGGCGAGCACUCUAGACGAACUGCCGUUGACAAAACGGAGGAAGGUGGGGAUGACGUCAAAUCAUCAUGCCCCUUAUGUUCUGGGCUACACACGUGCUACAAUGGCCGGUACAGACGGAGGCGAAGCCGCGAGGCGGAGCAAAUCCGAAAAAGCCGGUCUCAGUUCGGAUUGCAGGCUGCAAUUCGCCUGCAUGAAGUCGGAAUCGCUAGUAAUCGCAGGUCAGCAUACUGCGGUGAAUACGUUCCCGGGCCUU